UACAGAGGUCUCAAGCGUUGUUCGGAUUCAUUGGGCGUAAAGGGUGCGUAGGCGGCGCGGUAAGUCGGGUGUGAAAUCUCGGAGCUUAACUCCGAAACUGCAUUCGAUACUGCCGUGCUUGAGGACUGGAGAGGAGACUGGAAUUUACGGUGUAGCGGUGAAAUGCGUAGAUAUCUGGAGGAACACCGGUGGCGAAGGCGGCGUCCUGGACCAACACUGACACUGAAAAGCGAAAGCCAGGGGAGCAAACGGG
rnacentral:rRNA from 1 species